rnacentral:rRNA from 1 species
GGUUAAAACUCAAAUGAAUUGACGGGGGCCCGCACAAGCGGUGGAGCAUGUGGUUUAAUUCGAUGCAACGCGAAGAACCUUACCUGGUCUUGACAUCCACAGAACUUUCCAGAGAUGGAUUGGUGCCUUCGGGAACUGUGAGACAGGUGCUGCAUGGCUGUCGUCAGCUCGUGUUGUGAAAUGUUGGGUUAAGUCCCGCAACGAGCGCAACCCUUAUCCUUUGUUGCCAGCGAUUAGGUCGGGAACUCAAAGGAGACUGCCAGUGAUAAACUGGAGGAAGGUGGGGAUGACGUCAAGUCAUCAUGGCCCUUACGACCAGGGCUACACACGUGCUACAAUGGCGCAUACAAAGAGAAGCGACCUCGCGAGAGCAAGCGGACCUCAUAAAGUGCGUCGUAGUCCGGAUUGGAGUCUGCAACUCGACUCCAUGAAGUCGGAAUCGCUAGUAAUCGUGGAUCAGAAUGCCACGGUGAAUACGUUCCCGGGCCUUGUACACACCGCCCGUCACACCAUGGGAGUGGGUUGCAAAAGAAGUAGGUAGCUUAACCUUCGGGAGGGCGCUUACCACUUUGUGAUUCAUGACUGGGGUGAAGUCGUAACAAGGUAACCGUAGGGGAACCUGCGGUUGGAUCACCUCCUUACCUUAAAGAA